rnacentral:rRNA from 1 species
UGAGGAACAUGACCUUCGGCGGGGGAUAGCCGGCCCAACGGCCGGGUAAUACCGCGUACGACCACAUGGGGACAUCCCUGAGUGGUGAAAGCAGCAAUGCGCCGAUGGAGUGCCUCGCGGCCUAUCAGCUAGUUGGUGAGGUCAUGGCUCACCAAGGCGACGACGGGUAGCUGGUCCGAGAGGAUGACCAGCCACAGUUGGGAUUGAGACACGGCCCAGAUCCCGUACGGG